GGUAAUUGGAGUUAAGUCGUAACAAGGUACCCCUACGGGAAUGUGGGGGUGGAUCACCUCCUUUCUAACGGAGU
rnacentral:rRNA from 1 species